GCACAUUCCCUUUUGUCCCUAUUUCUAAAAUCUGCAGAACUCACAUCGUAUAAACAUUUGUAUUCAGGCCAAAGUUCGACAAGUUUGUCCUCUAAAAUUGCCUCGGCCAGCAAUUCAUUUUGCGCCGCCAUCUUGGAUGUUUACUUUCGUAUACUACGCAUGCGCUGCUACGACAAUCCGUAAGCAGAUAGCUUUCGUUCGCCGCACACGGAAAGAUUUUGGCACGCGAGGCAGAAAUUAUCAAACAUGUUAGAUAUUUGGCGUAAGUCGUUCGUAAAUCGCCCGCACACGAGAGCUAUCUCCUUACGCCAACAGUCACGAAUGACAUUUUGCUAAGCACAUAGCUCUA
rnacentral:lncRNA from 1 species